UUAAUUGAAACCAAAAAGAGGUAUGUUACUGUUAAUAACACUAGUGGAUUAAACCCAAUUAAA
rnacentral:tRNA from 1 species